AUAGCUCCCCCUGGAGGAGACGCCCGACAGAGCAGCGCGUCCUUCUCUACCGCCACGUGACAGCGGGCGCCAACCGACAAGGCUAAGUCGUGGGGCAACGGCGGGGCCCCUCGGGGCCCUCGGAGAGCAGCGCCCGCCCCCGCCCCUGCCCCCCUCGGAGAGGAGCUGGAGUGGCGGCCCCAUCCCUGGCCCGCCCUUCCCGCCCCCGCGCGGAUUGGCCGGGCAGCCGGCGGUUGGGAUUCUCGGCCAAUGGGGCCCCGAGGGGCGGGGCCUCGGGAGAGCCGCGCCUUCCCGCCACACGGUCACGUGACGCCCGCCAACGGCCGAGGAGGCCGACGCCCCGCCGGGGGCUUCGCCGCCUCGGGUCCGAGGGGAAGGAUGGUUUUCCCCCCAACGUGAGAGACUUUCUCCGCCCUAAGGCGCCGUCGAAAGGUCCCCCGAGGUGUCCGCCCUCCCCCGACGCCCCUCGCCACGGCCUCGGCCCUCCCGCAAACCCAGUCAUCUUUCUCAGUCCCAAGGACGAAGGCCGACGGCGCCGGAUCCCCGGAGCUGCCCCGAGGCGGAAGAGAGAGCUGUCUCUCCGGGUCCCUGGCCGCCCCCUCUCCGGCCCCCCCCGGGCCCGGCCCCGGCCCCGGCCUCAUGGUUUGCAAAAUAAAGCUGGGGGUCUCUGAAGGGGCAGUGCGCCGCAGGACCAUCCCGUAGAGUCGGGGCUUGGGGGACCCAGCGGCGGGGGGCGGGCGGCGAGACAAGGGCCCCCACUGCCCCUCCUGACCUGGCAUCCCUUGACUCCCACCCGGCCUUUCCUCUGCUCCUGCUGCCACCGCUGCUCCCACAGCCCCAGCCGAAGGUGAAGGUGACCCCCUCCGCAACCAUGAGUGCAGAGGAGAGUGAGAUCUUCACCGAAGGCCCCGUCGUCAGGAUGAAGGAGCUCACAUUCUUCCCCGUCUGCAUCGAAUUUUUGAAACCAACCAAAUUGUUGUCUAGGGACACUGAACAAUUAAAGAUGGCAGAGCUGAGUUUCACGACCAGCAGGAAACACUUCGAUGCGAUAGUCAUUGGAAGUGAAUUCGAAUCAGGAGACAGCACCUUCCGGGUGCAGUUGCGGCUUGGUUUAUGGGACGCUCAGGGACCUCAACCAGACUGUCAUCCUCAGCAGUUGAUCAUCAUCGACAACGGGCAGUUAUGUCUUCCACCUGUGGAGGCCAGUGGUAAACAUUACAGCCGUCCUGUGGAUAGCACCCAAUGGUAUCAUGCUCCUUUGGUCACUGAGUGA
rnacentral:lncRNA from 1 species